UCCAUCAGAACCCUCACGCAAGCACGGAAGGCAGGCCGCAUGGUCGGAAGCCCUAGGCGGCCCUUUCCUCAACUUGCCCCCGCGCGAAGGACUGGCGACCGGCGGCGACCUCCCAGGCGGCACCUCUCCUCAGCGGCGCGCUCUUCCAGUGGUGGUCGCCUCCUCCGUCCUCUCCAAUACACUGGAGCACGCACAGCGGAGCUUGCCGCCGCCCGUGCGCUGCUCUCCGUGGAGGCCGCCGCCGCGUCCUCCCUGACCUCCUGCGCCGUCGAUUACCCCUCCGCGCAGCUUGCGGCGGCGGCACCCAUCAGCGCGCGCUGUACGUUGUCGACGGCAGCAGCAGCUUGCAGCUGCAGGCCAGCCCCGUCAUCGCCUAGGCGUGGGAGUGAGCGGCGGCCGACGACGGGCGGGCAGGGGAGCGAGCAGUAGCGUGCAAACGGAGGAUCGAGCGGCGGCGCGUGGGCGAGGGAGUGAGCAGCAGCCGUCGGGCGGGCGGCGCAUGGGCAGCAAGGGUAAAAUGGUCAUAGUUAACUUGGAGUUAACUUAGAGUUAACGGAAUGGUAUAUAGUUGUAGCAUUCAAUCUUUUGAUGGUAUAUAUCUAUACAUAGAUCUUUUAAUGGUAUAUAUCUAAAGUUUGAUUCUUUUAAUGGUA